ACGGAAGGCAGCAGUGAGGAAUAUUGGUCAAUGGGCGCAAGCCUGAACCAGCCAUGCCGCGUGCAGGAUGACGGUCCUAUGGAUUGUAAACUGCUUUUGUACAGGAAGAAACACUCCCUCGUGAGGGAACUUGACGGUACUGUAAGAAUAAGGAUCGGCUAACUCCGUGCCAGCAGCCGCGGUAAUACGGAGGAUCCAAGCGUUAUCCGGAAUCAUUGGGUUUAAAGGGUCCGUAGGCGGUUUUAUAAGUCAGUGGUGAAAUCUGGUCGCUCAACGAUCAAACGGCCAUUGAUACUGUAGAACUUGAAUUACUUGGAAGUAACUAGAAUAUGUAGUGUAGCGGUGAAAUGCUUAGAGAUUACAUGGAAUACCAAUUGCGAAGGCAGGUUACUACGAGUAUAUUGACGCUGAUGGACGAAAGCGUGGGGAGCGAACAGGAUUAGAUACCCUGGUA
rnacentral:rRNA from 1 species